rnacentral:lncRNA from 1 species
AUUCUCCUUGAUUCUCAGGAGCAGUUCUCUGAUCUCAUCUGCAAACUCUUUUGAUACUUUGGGAUAGAAUUUGUAUUAACAGAAGUUUUGAAGUCAUUCAGAGUAAGUGAAGAUUUCUCUUACUAUCUCUUUUUCUAUUGUAGGUUUUAAUUCUCUCUUCAUAAUGUUUGCUUCAAAAUUGAUGUUCAUCUCUCUUAGAAUAUGGAAGGAAGCAGAAAAUUGAAUGGUUCUUUGAUUAUGUUAUCAUUUGUUAAGGUUAUAUUGUAAUUUUUUUUUUUUUUUUUGAGACAAGGUCUUGCUCUGUGGCCCAGGCUGGAGUGCAGUGGAGUGAACAUGGCUAGUGAGGGUUUACUUUCUGGGCUCAAGUGAUCCUCCCACCUCAGCCCCGAGUAGCUGGGAACACAGGCGUGUGCUACCACACCUGGCUAAUUUUUUACAAAGUUUUGUAGAGAUGGAGUCUCACUUUGUUGCCCAGGCUGGUGGGCAAGAGGUCCUCCUGGGCUCAAGUGAUCCUCCUGCCUUGGCCUCCCAAAGCAUUAGGAUUACAGGUGUCAGCCACCAUGCUUGGCCUAAGGUGAUAUUGUCUGAGAUACAGCAUAGGUUUUUCUUCCCAGAUCUUUUCUUGGCUACGGAGAUUAAAAAGAAAAACAGCUUUCUUGCUGUCUUUAGUAUUUAUCUCCGCCCCUACUUUAUUUUAAGACUUUAUUCUCAUAAUACUCUAAACAAAUUUUCCCUUUCUUUUAUCGCAUGCUUGGGUCUGUCCACCCCAUCCGUCCUCUGAGCCAUAGGAACCUCGAGUCUUACUACUCCAGAUCUAACCCUCCUUUUACCUCCUCUCUGAGAACUGUGUGCUCCUAGACUAUUAUUCUAUUCUUGCUGUUUAUGUUUUCAGCACAAGCUUGUUUAUGGUCAAUUAUCUGAGAUUAUUUCUAUUAUAUUUUCUUUCCAGACAGCAUAUCUUUCCUCCUAAACAGGAUCAUUUUUGUAAUGCUCAAGUAAUCCUGUUUUCAGAGUCUACAUUCCUCUUCUAAACAUAUUCCCUUGGGCACUAUUAUUUUCCUUACUUUUUAUGAAGCCCCCUUUCUGAAGGUCUGACCAUUACCUUUUUCACUAUUAUAAACAUCAAGGCCAUUUUAUUCCAAGGUUUGCUUGUUUCUGCAUUUGACACCUCCUUCUUUCUUGUUGGAAUCCAGGACAAAAAUUUCCUAAAUGUAUUCCUUUACCUGCUGAGGGAAAAUUGUCAGUAACCCAAACCAAGAACAAACUCUCCGUCUGCUGUGCGCUGGGUUGAAUGUGUGCCUUUCCCCAGCUUAUGUUCACCUGGAGCCUGUGAAUAUGACCUUAUUUGAAAAUACAGUCUUUGCAGAUGUAAUCAAGUUAAGACGAGGUCAUACUGGAUUAGAAUGGGCCCUAAAUUCAAUAUAACUGGAUCCUUAUAAAAAGAGGAGCAUUGGGACACAGGGACACAGACAGGGAGAAGAUCGUAGGUGGAGACUGCAGUGAUGCAUCUAGAAGCCAGGGAGCACCAAGGGUGGCAAGCAACUGCUAGAGGCUAGGAAGAGGCAAGGAAGGUUCCCUAGAGGCGUCAGAGGAAAACAUCAACCUGCCAGCACCUUAGUUGCAGACUACUAGCUGCCAACACUGAGAUAAUAAUUUUUUGUUGUUUUAAGCCACCUAGUUUGUGGUGAUUUGUUAUGGCAGCAUCAGGUAACCAAUACAUGUGGUUAAUAGCAGGAUACCACUAACUGGUUCCAGGUGGCCAAUUCUGUAGCAGUUUUGCUACAUGUAUCAGAAGAUAGCAUGGCUAUGUGGCAAGAAUAUAGACUUUAGGCUUAAAGACCCAUGCUCGAGUCUUAGACCUACCACCGAUGAGUUGGGCGAUCUGCAGCUGCUAAAAGAAAAAUUUUGGACAAACUAAAUUUAACAGAGUUUAAUUGAGCAAAGAAUGUUUCAUGAACUGGGCAAUCCCCAAACCAGAAUAGAUUCAGACAGACUCACGUGAAAAGGAUUUAUGAACAGAAAAAUGAAAGUGAAACAGAAGUGAGGAAUAGGAACAGCUGGAUUGUUACAGCUUGAUGUUUGUCUUAUUUGAACGUGGUUUAAACAGUUGGCCAUCUGCAAUUGGCUGAAGCUCAGUGAUGGGUACAAGAGCAAGUUACAGUCUGUUGAUACAUCCAGUUAGGUUACAGUUCACUAUGUGCAGAGAAACCUUUAGCCUCAACUUAAAAAUAUGUAAGGAGGCAGCUUUAGGCUAAACUUAAUUUAACAGGGCAUGGUCAAUUAAUCACUUAUAACUUCCAUAAAAUAAUGAUAAUGUAUUAUUCAUCUG